AUGGCGAGGUGUGUCUGGGCCUUGGUAGAUGAGGACACCCUGGAGCAUGCUACUGGUAACGUGAAGAUGAAUGUAGAUGGAGGGGUCUCGAGGAAUGGAGCACGAGGAGCAGCGGCUGUCAUAUGCAGAGGCCUAGUGGAUCCACCUAGUCUGGAAGCACAAGCAUGCAAUGAAGCUUUAGCAUUAGCCAAAGAUCCGAAUCCGCAGAGAGUUCAGGUGGCCUCGGAUUGCCUUGAGGUGGUGAAAAAUAUCAACAAGGGAGGAGCGCCGGUUUAUGGCCCGGUCCUGCACGAGUUAAAGCACCGCAUGGAGGAACUAGAUUUUGUUAAUUUUUCUUUUGAAAUUCGUGAGUCGAACUAUGAAGCUCAUGCUUUGGUUAAGGCUGCUACUUUGCAGUCGGGCGCCACUUGUGGCUAG
rnacentral:rRNA from 1 species